AUGAGAAAAGGCAAAUUAUCCCGUUAUUCGCGGAGGCUGUGGUUUGACGCCGCACACCCCCCGGCCAGCCACGGUGAUGGCACCCUAUGAAAUCAUCCCUUUUCUUUUUAGCCUGGAAGGAGGAAAGCCUGGGCAGCCGUGACAGGCGAGGGGUUCACCGGAGGACAAACCCCUUGCCCUUACAUGUGCCAUCCAGGAGGAGCCUCGAACACCAGCGUCCAGCAGGGCCCGGCCAUCGCACGCCUUGGAGAAAACACUCCCAGCAGCACGGGGAAGAUGCUGGCUGAGAAGGAAGAUCUGCUAAGCCGCUCUUUCUCUCCUGUAAGGAGACUUACGUGCUCAUGGUCUCAGGUCUUCCAUCCUGGGCAGCAAGCAGCACCAGAUCACAAUCUUCUCUGGCAGUGCUAAGGUACUCAGCCUACCAAGACAAGCUAAGUAAAAAUGUUUGGAAGAAGAUCCCACACUGUCUGGGCAAUAAAACGGGAUGAAAUCCUUUCACUGAAAAGCAAAGUGAACCACAUGGAAUGAAACAUGAAUAUCACAGCCUCUGACUCAACUCCUACCAUUCAAAAUAGAGAUCCUGGUACUGUGACAGGUGCUGCAGUGAAGCUGUUCUGUGUGCUCAAGUGGAGUGUCAAGGAUCAUUACAAAAGAAGGGAAGAAGUGAACAGCAAACACCCCUACACCAUCAUUAUUAGGCCCAGAUCUCCUGUCUGCUUAUAUCUCAAAUACAAUGUGCAGUUCUGCUUUGCUUAAAAGGUGCAAAGGGAAACUUGAAAGACACAUAAAAACAUAGCAAAUGUACUUAAAAGCAGCUAAAUGCACUGCUAGGGUGGUGUUUCCACCCUAGAAAGGCAGCAAUCUGGAUGAAACCUCAACUAAUAUACUCAAAAACAGCAUGGAAAGGAACAUCAGAGAGAGAUACUCAUUCACUUAAUGUGUGUUGAGAUAAACAAAGACCCUUUCUCUAAAGCAGAGGGUAUCAAGGCAACAUAUCAAACAAGUAAUCAGAAUAUGGACAGCAACUUUAAACAACAUGUUUUCCAACCACAGAACUCAUUACUACAGCACACUAAAGAGGCAAAAAACUUUAAGGAGUUGGGUUUUUUUAAAGCAGAAAUUUAACUAUGUGUUACUUGAAGCUGAAAGAGUAACGGAGUGCCCUGUAUGCUACCCAAGCCUCCUUCCCCAUGUGUAUGGUAGUAGCUAUUUUUCUGGGUGAGGUUUUAAACAGGUGGACCUUUGAUCUGACACAGUGCUGCUAUCCCUAUGCUACUCUCCAGGAGGAAAUGCAAGUUUUCACCAGAACAAAUGAAACUGAACAACAUUGUUCAAGGCAAUAAAGUGCACAAACCUGUAAGCAGCUCUGGCAAAGUUUGAGUCUGUGGUGAACAUGUGGCAGCUGCAGCUGCUCUCUGGGAGACAGGGAGCCUCACAAAACAGCCAGCAGGACAAGGACCUCGCCAGCCAGCACCCAGCCCCACUGUACACACACAGGGUAAACAGAACAGGCCCAGGGGCACCAUCUGCAUUCAGGCACAAGGCCUGAAUAACACAGCUUCCAGAACAUGAGGCAAGCCUGGAGUUUAGCUAAGAACUCAAUCUUCAGGUCACAAGCAGGUCUGGAGACCUAUGAAGUAAGAAAAACUACACACAACCUGAGUGAAUAAUAAACAGAGACCAUAGACACUAAAGAGGACCAAGCCCAAACCAAGGCCCUAAACAACCAAAGCCUGUUUCUUAGCCAGGUGAGCUUAAAUAGAGCUCCUGGGCCCUUGGGCAAAGGAUGUGGGUGGAGACUCCAGAUGCAGAUGGUCAGGUCCCUUAAGACCUAUUAGUGUCCUUGGGCCCUUGACCCUGGAAACAGAACUAUUCAGGUAUGCUGUCCCUAAAUUAUUCCUGCAGUCAUCUGCAACAGGCACAGCAUCAGUCCAAGCUAAGAAAGGUUAGAUUGAUGCUGAGCUUUAGCCCUUCACAAACCAAAAGCUGAGAUAAUUACACUGCAAAGAUACCUAAGCUGCUUUUUAAGGGACAGAUUUGAUCUAGCCAGGUUUAUCUUAGCUAGCCCUGUUUUCCUUGCCGUGGAAAGAUGAUACUGCAACAUUAGGGCUGUUUGUUUAUGUGAUUACAAAACACAGAUUACAACUUCCACUUUCUAGCAAAGCCUGCCUCACAUUUGCUAGCUCGGGCUCCAGCAUGACAAAGUGAGCAGCCUGCUCCCAGCCCAGAUGUGACCUAGGAACCUGUGUGCCACUCUGGUGUGUGCUGCUGUGCCUGUGAAUCCAGCUGAACACUGGCCAAACACUGUUAAUGCCUUUGGAUUUGUAAUACAGAUGAUCAGAUAAAUCACCCACAGCAUUGUUAGUUGGCACGAUCUGAAAGAGUCUUGAACAACAUGAAUUUAAUGCAGAAACUCAAAUUCUAAUUGUUCUUUUGACAAUCACUUUCUCAUUUAGUCCUUCUUGGCCCUGGUUCAAGAUAGUAUCUACCCGCCUGAUUGGCACUGAGAACAGGUUAACGUUUGUAGGCACACUAAACACAGAUAUUUUAAGCGUUAACACUAUUUUAUAUGAAAUAAGGCCAGGAGGGACUAUGAUUUCAGCUUGUGAUACCCAUCAUACAGGCCCACUGUGUUUAUUCUAAAUAUUUCCUAACAGAUGUUUCUGACCUGGAGUGGACCACAGUUUGCUGCCAGUUUCUAUUUUCAUUGGAAGUCUUGGCCCUUACUUCACUGCAUGAUUGUGCAUGGAUAAUAAAAAGCAUGACAGCAGAACAAUUGUGUAGUGCCUUGGACUACAUCUACACUUCAUCUGGCAAGACAUGGUUAAUUGUGCAUGUACAGACCCAAGAGUUUUGGGUGUUUUAAGGCUACUGCACUUUUGCAGUAAGCCAUGUGACACAGGGGUCACAUAGGGAACACCUCUUCAUGCCACCUGAAAGAAACGAAGGGACCUGCUUAGCCAGAGAAAUUUGGCACUCACUGUAUUACUGCAGACUCAGUAACUCUGAUCAGUCAAAUCCUUCUGUUCACUGAAGACCCCACUGACAGGGCCUGUUGGGGUCCUGAGGGUAUCAACAAGGUUUAAUGACCAGCCUCACCUGGGGCUUCCACUACACACUUGAUUUGUGGUGGGUGAGCAUUUAAACUCAGGCCUGUCUAGGUAACUGCUUCUGAUAUUAGUUCUGGUGUAGGCACUAGUUGUUUUGGGUGUUGGUUCUGGUCUUAUUUGUUCUUUGAGUUUGGUUUCUAGAUGAUCCUCAGGUGUGUCUCUGGCUCUGUUUUGGGCCUUCUCUUCUGUUCCUUUCUUGCCUAGAUGUACCAUAGAGCUGCUCUGUGCCCUGGCCGAGGCUGGAGCCUGUUCCCAGCACCCAGCUCUGCAGGACUGUGCCUUGUCAGUGAAGGGACCUCCUGUGCUGUGGUCUUAUUUGGCUCCUUGCUCACCUCAGGAAAAAACACUUCUGUCUACUUGCUGACAGAGGUAAAGAGAGUUCAAGACAGCACAGUGCCAAGGAGCUGAGGUUUGUUAGAGUAGCUGUAAUCUGCAAGCUGUGAUUUUUGUGGUAGGGGAAGAAUGAUUCUCGUGUGGGGAAAGUUAUGCACUUCUGAUGUCUGUAGAUGUGGUUUGGGGCAAAUAAACAGGCAACUGGAUAGGUAUUAUGUCAGAUCACUAAUUAGUAAAGACCAGAAGCAAGUCUAAAGACUUAAAAAGCUUACUGCCCAGAGGUAUUACACUGAUGGUAAUUUGUACAGCUAUCCCAAAACAGGGCUUGGUGUACACCAGCAUUUUAAGAGCACUGAAAAUAAUCUUUUCAGCAACCACUGAAAGUUGUUGCAGCAGCCAGUCUAUUUUAAUUAAUAUAUAUUUAAAAUGUGUUUUGAAAACUAAGCAUCUUUAACAACAAAAAAAUCAGGAACAAAUUACAAUUGAUAAAACUACCUACCUGCUUGAUUUUUUUCUUCAAAUUUGUAGCUCUGCUCCUGAGUGUUAUAAUUUUCAUGUCUCCCCUGCUGAUUGUUGAUUUACUGGGGGAGGAUGCGGUAGUGUCACACAUGAGUGUAAUGCAAAUUAUAUUAAAAUUGCUGAUAACUUUUAAGAAUGGGUCAUAAAAGAGAUGUCACCAGAGAAAUUCUCUAAAAGGUGUAAACAUUUCAAGGUAAAAAGAUGAAGUGACAACUGGGAGAAUGUUAAGAUUUAAAGGUGCAAAUGAACUACUACAGGGGCUAAUGAAGAAAACAGACCUUGAGAGCACUUUAUACCAGUAAGUACUUUAAAAAACCCCAAUAAAUCUAGGCACAUAAAGCUCAUUGUGAAUUCCUUUGUGUGUUAACAUAUCUAUGUAAGAUAUUCUGUUUAGCUCUGCAAUGCGAGUCUUUUACUGGUUUUUCUAAAGAGUAUGCAUACAUGAGGCACCCUUCCCUAAAUUAUGAGGCUUGACAAAGUAUCUUGAAAUAUCCUGCCUGUAGCUAAGAGAAGUAACAGCCCAUCUAUGUGAUUAUUGAUUUUUCUAGUCUGUGGUGAAACUCUAGAAACUUGAUGACUUUCAGCUGUUAGUGCAGUGGCAAUGCUUUUCUGUGUGAAGUCAGUAAAUUAGAUUCCUACAGCUGGAGCUGUUAACAGAGUCUGGUUGUUGUGGUGGGAGGAGGCUUUUCCUGAGCAGAAACCCAAAAGAAUACAAACUGGGUGGAGAACAUGGCAUCAACAGUGGCUUAAAAACCUGCUUCAAUAACUCACAGAACAGUUGCCUUUCCAUUAGAGACUGACAGUGACUUAAAAAAAAAAAUACUAAUUUUGCAGAUGUAUUACAAAAGUGUUUCUCCUUCUGGUGAAUUUUGAAGCUUGCACGUAAAUAAUCAUAUUGAGCAAUUUUUUCUGAGUAUAAAACCAUAAUUGUAGACAAAAGGGAUCUUCACGUUCUAGCACGAAGUUGAAGUAGCUAUCUAAACGGCUCAAAAGAAAUCGAUGUAUUUUACAGUACAGUCUUAACUAGAGCCGUUUAGGUUUUGGUUAUGUGCGCCCACAGGUCUAAAUACAGGUAUUUGUUGGCGAACCGCGCGGAUGGAUGUUUUUAAGGAGCAGCAAGCCAUCCCCGGGGGCACUAACAAAGGCGUGCCCCGGAGCGGGCAGAGGGUGAGAAGCGGCUGGGCCGGGGUUAAGCCGGCCCUUCCCGCGGG